rnacentral:rRNA from 1 species
UGCGUAGGCGGUUUAUUAAGUCAGAUGUAAAAGCCCCGGGCUUAACCUGGGAACUGCAUUUGAUACUGGUAGACUAGAGUAUGGUAGAGGGGGUAGAAUUCCUAGUGUAGCGGUGAAAUGCGUAGAUAUUAGGAGGAAUACCAGUGGCGAAGGCGGCCCCCUGGACCAAUACUGACGCUGAGGUACGAAAGCGUGGGUAGCGAACA